GCCUGUGUAGCUCAGAUGGUUUAGAGUGUGCGCCUCAUAAGCGUAAGGUCGUGGGUUCGAUGCCCGCCACAGGCACCA
rnacentral:tRNA from 1 species